rnacentral:rRNA from 1 species
GACGUAGGAUGCGAGCGUUAUCCGGAAUCAUUGGGCGUAAAGAGUUCGUAGGUGGUUUGUUAAGUUGGAUGUUAAAACUUUGAGCUCAACUCAAAGUCGGUAUCCAAAACUGGCAGACUAGAGACAGGUAGAGGUAAGUAGAAUUCUGUAUGUAGGGGUAAUAUCCGUAGAUAUACAGAGGAAUACCAAAAGCGAAGGCAGCUUACUGGACCUGUUCUGACACUCAAGAACGAAAGCGUGGGGAGCAAACGGG